rnacentral:rRNA from 1 species
AUGGUCAGCAUGGGGAUGGCAGCCCAAUUGAUGGUCUUUGUCUUGGAGCGAAUCAUGUCUGAAUGCACCUCCAAGCAGAAGAUUAAUACAGACUUACAUGGCUUUCUUUUCUGUGUCAAAGGCUUGAUUGAUGCUCUAUAUCAUUUAAUUCUCAAUGCAUCUCAGGAGGAGCCCCAAGUUGUUAAUUAUAAGAAGCGCGUAUCUGGAGCAGAGACAUUCAUACCGCUCGUCCAAUACGUCAGUAGACUGAAACCAGUUAUGCACAUCGUAAAUCCUGUUGGCGAGAUGAGGGGAAGGACAUACCAGGUGGUGACAGAAGAAGGCAAGCGCCUCAUGGCUUCACUCAUCAGAACUCUGCAUGAUUUCCACAGAGCUGGGAAGUGCCCCGAGCAAUUUUGCGCAUCAGACAUUGCCGUGACAUCUACUGGCAGAGUGAAACACACAAAUACAAGCUUGCUACGAGGGAAGACCGAUGAACUGGUACUGAGAAACUACGAGGAUGCCCGCGACAUUUUUGAGAAGACGGUAUUCGAUGGGUACGAUCCAACUCUUAUCCCUGAAGACAUUAAGCAUCUGUUGCAGCUGAUGACAUCUCCCGGGGCAAUUUCUGCGGAGUAUGUCAUAAGCACGCAUGCUUCUCUUGUCCCUCUUAGUAACAGGUACCAGUUCUAUCUUGAUAUGUGCGACCAUAUCACAUCUGUGCUGGACGGCAAUCCUGAACAAAAUGACAUCCUUAGUUCUCUGCCCUAUGGUGACAAGUGGGUAGAAAAAUUGGAAGGCAAUCUUCUGCUGGAGGAGUCGUUCCACCGCAGCGGACCAUACGACACCGAAGGAUCAGCCAUGGCCUUUCUGAAGUUCUAUAGGGACACACUCAUGUGUCGAAUGGAAAAUUUUAUGAAGCCUUUCAAGAGCUUUCCAGGGAUGAAACCGUUGGAGUACACAAAAGGCGAUUUUGAAAGUGUCUUGUUGGUCACCUAUCCCAUGUGCCUGCCAAGAAUGCAAGAAGAGCUUGAAAAGCAUAAGCAGCUGAGGGAUUUGAAUCUUCAGAACCUGACCUUCAUUUGA